rnacentral:lncRNA from 1 species
GCCUCUGUGGAUCGUCCACACGAAGCUCCCGAUCUGAUCGACUCCUCACGAGUGCUAGCUCGUUGUAGAGCCCUUUCGAAGGCCGAUGCUGAUCGAACUCCUUCGAUCGAUGUCUAUCGAUUCUUUGGAUACUCCAGAUCAUCAAUAGACAUGCUUGAGAGGAUGUUGAAGAUCAUUUUGAAAUUUGGUGGGCUCACGACACUCGUAGCUCACCUUCUC